CACGCGGCGCGCACGGGGCGGAGCGCCGGCUGCGAGGGCGAUGCGCCACUGCCCCCCACUAAACGAAAACUUUCUCUGUGGCAGAGAGUGAGUGACGUUACUAAGCUGGGAGCAUAUUUGCAUUUUGACGGUCCGGAGCGACUAGACUUAUAUCAUUUCGAAAGCGGCGUCUGGAUGCUGAGUGCGCGAGGCGCGGCGCCCACGAGGCUGGAGCGCGCCGUGCGGCGGC